AACUGACAGUGGAGUAAAUUCUAUUGAUGGCUAAGGAUAGUCUGCUGCAGCUGACCUGGAAUGGCAGUGUAAUAAUAUUGGAGGAUUGCCCCAGUAAUUUGCAUUUCACUGUGUUUAACAUUUUUGCAUCUUGCAAAUGAUAAACAUUUCUAGAAAGGAAGAAAAAGUUGAUUAUAUUCUAGGGGAACGGGCCAAGUGGUCAAAUCCAUGUACCAACACCAGGACUGGGCUACGUUAGAAUGAACAGGUGAAAGGCCACAAGGGAAUUGGAAAAUGAGGAUUUGGAAGAGGAUGAUACACAGGAACACUUAAAUCAGAUUCAAAGUGAGGAGGAUUAUGUUACUUUAACAUUUGAAACCCUAACAACAGCAGAUUCGCAACCAUCCACUUCAUCAGCAUGUUCUACACCAAUGCCAAAGCCUACCGAUCAUGUUGUCAUGUUCCCGUUCUGAAGUGUUGAGCAUGUUCCAAUAACUGUGUGAAAAAUUUGAAGUGCUUUCUGCAAAAAUGGAUGUCCUGAUGCAACGCUAAAAGGCAAUUUAUGUACAUUCUAAAUUGUGUCACAUGCAACAAGGUUUGUUGCUAAAGGGGUAUUCGAGAAAAAAAC